UCUCUUCCCUCUCUGACUUCUCUUUUAACUCACUUCUCAUGGAGGGUGGUGCUGGGGGGGGUGGCUGUGGCAUUUCUUGAGAAGUGUCUUAAUACUGUGUAUCACCAACAAAUGGUCAAGUCAAAAGGAACCCUUCUAAAGUAUCAGUAAUGAACACUUUGAUACAUCAUUCUCGAGGAAAGACUGAAUCGACUUUCUAUUCUGUAUACAGAGCAUGUUUCAGAAGGUCGUCAUUUGCAGAGACGAAGAUGACACAAAGAUGUACGUAUUCCAGAGUCAGACAAUUAAUACAGGAGGUUGGGGCAGGGCACGGGACAUUGUUGCCAUUCCUAGCACUGUGGCUUAUCUGCUGGCAUCCUGGACAGCGAGGACCAGGCCCCUCCAGCUCCUGCUGAAUCCUCUGUACAACCAACCUCCCUGUCUCCUGGGCCAGGAGUGCGUUAGCUCCAUGACAAAGCUUUUCCUGCAGGACCCUUGUGCUGUCAUCUGUGUUGGAGGUUGGAGAUGGUGAGAAACCAACAGUGGUUCCAGCUCAGCCUUAGCUUCCUGCUUGUCCUUGCGAUCUCCAACCUUCUCUUCCCCACUGCCUGCCCUGAGAGCUGCGGGAUCCAGCCUCAGAUACAGGAAAAAUCGUCCCAUACAGACUGGGUAGCCAACUCCUGCAAUCACCCAGGGUCCAACUCUUAUCACACCCCUGCCCCCCCCCACCCAGGGGUUCUGCUUCUCUGACCCAAACAUGACUGAUCAUACCCCCAAAUUGCACAGCCAACGAGUGGUGGGGUGGGCUCUUGGCUACAAGGUCCCUUGCACCUCACGCCAAACUUCUCACCCUGCCAUGUCAGUCUCCUCAUCACUAGGCCUGCCUCUACCUGAUGGAUCAUACUUUCUGUGACUCCUUGACAAGACCCACUAGUCCAUCAGCGCAUCUCUGAUGAUGAACUUCCUGAGGGUCCCUGCGCACUCCUCUUCUGAUGGUAUCUGCCCCACUUCCUUCACCUCUCACCUCCUCCCCCACCCACACCCUAUAUUCUAAAGCUCAGUCUCUGCUUUAGAGUUCGUUGCCCUCCUUGACCACCUCCUGGAAUCAGCCUUGACUGAGACGGUUACCUCCAAAGUGCAGUUUGAUUAUCGUGGACAUUGCUGCCAUAAACAUCGGGCUGCAUAUGCCCCUUCGGAUCACUACAUUUGGGAUGCCUAUAAUUAGGUGCAUGCUGACGCUUUAAUAUUCCUGAUCCUGGCGAGUCUCCUGGAAAAGCCUCGACACCUCCAGGUGACCAGCUCUCAUCCAGGAGCCAUCCAGGAACCCACUCAGCAUCACCUCAUUAGAACAAAAGACACUCCCAUCACCCAGGAAAUUACAAGGGCUUCGGAAACUGUAUGCCAGGAGCCAGGGGCAGAGAUGGACAUCUAUUUUCCAUUGUCUCACAGUAGUAAAGAGGAAGCAUUACCAGCAACAGCAACCUUCUUCAUUUAAUUCCUUCCUCUCCACACACAAUUUUUUCUGGGUACACAUUCCCCUUGAAAAGACUUAUGCCAAAGUUGAGACUUCCAGAAGAAGUUGGCCUGUGAUGUAAUAAUGCCAAUCACCUGGGUCAACACACUGGCUUAGCUUGGGGCAAUGCCUAUGAAACAUCAGUUGAAUCCUACUUCUUGAUAAUAAUAAUAAAAAAGAUUAAUGCUGUA